ACUCAAUGUCUGGCAAACUAACCAGGCUCACACCAAAAUCACAUUCAUCUAAGCGAGAGGAAUUAUCUGUAGUUAUAUGGUUUCUUUACUUGUAGUAUAAGUUGCUAAAUAAAACAAUAUACAGAUGAACAAUUUGUAACUGUAUCCUUCUAGCAAAAUGAAAAAGGAAUCAUGAAUGUUUAAAAAAAUUCUACUUUUGCUGAAGAAGGAGAAGUUAAUCAUGAUUUUGAAUUUUUGUAAAGAUUUUUAUAUUUUUGAUCUAUAUUCACGAUGUCUGUCUUUUAUAUAUAUGUAUGUGUUCAACUGCCACCAAAUAUGUGUUCAAUGCAUGUUCAGAAUUAACAAUGUUCAAGAUAGGUCUUUUCAACAGGCUUUGUUUAAAAAUCUGAAACUUUUAUGCUGUAAAUAGUAUUUAUGGGAAAUAUCAUGAAAUAAAGUGAAGGUAUAUAUC
rnacentral:misc_RNA from 1 species